UAUUAAAAUUUUCAUCUAUUUAUACUAUUAAAAAGUGCCCUGCUUGAAACAAUAACCAAACAGUAACAUGUGGUGUGCCACAUGUACGUCAUGUUAUUGUACAAGGACAAGUUUUUAAUACUAAUAAUGGAAAAUUUUAAUAAUAAAAAUAGAUUAAAUUUUUAACA
rfam:Gossypium raimondii Chr06_contig_1071, whole genome shotgun sequence.